AGGACGAACGCUGGCGGCGUGCUUAACACAUGCAAGUCGAGCGGAAAGGCCCUUCGGGGUACUCGAGCGGCGAACGGGUGAGUAACACGUGAGGAACCUGCCCUUAACUCUGGGAUAGCUUCGGGAAACCGGAAUUAAUACCGGAUAUGACCAAGAUCGGCAUCGAUCGUGGUGGAAAGAUUUAUCGGUUAGGGAUGGACUCGCGGCCUAUCAGCUUGGUUGGUGAGGUAACGGCUCACCAGGCGACGACGGGUA
rnacentral:rRNA from 1 species